GAUGAAGUACGCAGCGAAAUGCGAUAAGUAAUGUGAAUUGCAGAAUUCAGUGAAUCAUCGAAUCUUUGAACGCACAUUGCGCCCGCCAGUAUUCUGGCGGGCAUGCCUGUUCGAGCGUCAUUUCAACCCUCAAGCCCCCGGGCUUGGUGUUGGGGAUCGGCGUGCCCUCGCGGCGCGCCGUCCCCUAAAUCUAGUGGCGGUCUCGCUGUAGCUUCCUCUGCGUAGUAGCAACACUCGCACUGGAUCGCAGCGCGGCCACGCCGUUAAACCCCCCACUUCUGAAAGUUUGACCUCGGAUCAGGUAGGAAUACCCGCUGAACUUAAGCAUAUCAAUAAGCGGAGGA
rnacentral:misc_RNA from 1 species